UACGGAGGAGGCAAGCGUUAUCCGGAAUUAUUGGGCGUAAAGCGUCCGCAGGUGGCUAUUCAAGUCUGCGGUCAAAGACUGGGGCUUAACCCUGGAAAGGCCGUGGAAACUGAAGAGCUAGAGUGCAGUAGGGGUAGAGGGAAUUCCCGGUGUAGCGGUGAAAUGCGUAGAGCUCGGGAAGAACAUCGGUGGCGAAAGCGCCUUGCUGGGUCUGCACUGACACUGAGGGACGAAAGCUAGGGGAGCGAAAGGG
rnacentral:rRNA from 1 species